CCUACGGGAGGCAGCAGUGAGGAAUAUUGGUCAAUGGACGAGAGUCUGAACCAGCCAAGUAGCGUGAAGGAUGACUGCCCUAUGGGUUGUAAACUUCUUUUAUAAAGGAAUAAAACGAGGCACGUGUGCCUUUUUGCAUGUACUUUAUGAAUAAGGAUCGGCUAACUCCGUGCCAGCAGCCGCGGUAAUACGGAGGAUCCGAGCGUUAUCCGGAUUUAUUGGGUUUAAAGGGAGCGUAGAUGGGUUGUUAAGUCAGUUGUGAAAGUCUGCGGCUCAACCGGAAAAUUGCAAUUGAUACUGGCAGUCUAGAGUACAGUUGAGGGAGGCAGAAUUCGUGGUGUAGCGGUGAAAUGCUUAGAGAUCACGAAGAACCCCGAUUGCGAAGGCAGCUUACUAAACUGUGACUGACAUUGAUGCUCGAAAGUGUGGGUAUCAAACAGGAUUAGAUACCCCUGUAGUC
rnacentral:rRNA from 1 species